GACGAACGCUGGCGGCGCGCCUAACACAUGCAAGUCGAACGAGCGAGAGAGAGCUUGCUUUUUCGACCGAGUGGCGAACGGGUGAGUAACCCGUGAGGCACCUGCCUCAAAGGGGGGGACAACAGGUGGAAACGACUGCUAAUGCCGCAUAAGCACACGACCAGGCAGCGGGUAUUGGGAAAAGGAGCAAUCCGCUUUGAGAUGGCCGGACUUCCUAUUAGCUGGUUGGUGAGGUAACGGCCCACCAAGGCGACGACCGGUACCCGGGAUGAGAGGUUGAGCGGCCACAUUGGAACUGAGACACGGCCCAGACUCCUACGGGAGGCAGCAGUGGGGAAUAUUGCACAAUGGGGGAAACCAUGAUGCAGCGACGCCGCGUAAAAGAAGAAGGUCGGCGGAUAGUAAACUCCUGUUGUUGAGUAAGAUAAUGACGGUACUCAACGAGGAAGUGACGGCUAACUACGUG
rnacentral:rRNA from 1 species